GGGACUUCCAGAGAGGCUUCCAUGUAGGCCUCUCUGAAGCCUGGACUUGACUAGGCCGGCAGGCCCCAAGCAAGCAAGGAAGGAGGCAGGCAGAGUGACCACCACAGUUCUCUGCAGCAGAUCCUCUGCCCAGGCCGGCCAGCCAGCCCAGCCUUUGCCAGGAGCUAAAACCACCUGCUGCAUGGGACCCAUGGUCUGCUGCCCUUGGAUGGUUGUUUCCAUCAUAAAGUCUUUUUUCUGUCUUGUUAUUGUCUGGUGCUUGGAAUGUGAUAGCCCCACCUCUGCUCCCUGAAGAAACCAGUUGACAUAGUCUACAUGCUACAAUCUAAGGUUCACAAAAUGUCCUUCCAGAUUCAACACAGCAAAAGCCGCCCCCGCCUCUUUUCCAUUGAUGUGCAGGCUCUUCAUGGUAGAAAAGUGCAGAAUGGCGUAUCCAUCAUUUAUUUGGGCAGCAACAUUCCCCAUGGAAACCAACAAUGAAGCUUGUACAAUGUUGUCUAGAAAGCCUCUACAUGUAGGGCCUUCUCUGUAGUUGCUCCUGGGCUAUGGAAUGCACUCCCUAUAGACACUCACCGCUUAACAUCUUCAUCAGUUUUUAAAAGAGCCCUUAAGACACAUUUUUUUAGUCUGGCUUUUAGUAAUCUUUGGGUGGUUUCAAUUGUUGUAAAUUGUUGUUUUAACAGUUUGAGUUGUUUUUAUUGUAUUCCUCUUUGUGAUACACCUAGAGCUUUUGGAGUCAGGUGGUAUAUA